CCACAAAUGGGCCCUGCUUGCAGCACUUCAGCAAUUCAGCAGGAAAGGACCAGGAUGAGAACCACAGAAUAUGCUGAGUUGGAAGGGACUCACAAGGAUCACUGAGUCCAACUCUUAGCCCUGCACAGGACCAUCCCCAAGAGUCACACCAUGUGCCUGAGAGUAUCAGAACUCAAGAAGUAUGUUGCAGAUGAGUGAAGUGUUUCUUGGGAUUUGACGUUGCUGUACUGCAUAUGAUGAAA